rnacentral:rRNA from 1 species
UACGAGAACCCCAAGCGUUAUCCGGAAUCAUUGGGCGUAAAGGGUGUGUAGGUGGCGAUGUUAGUCUUCUGUCAAAAUCUUGGGCUUAACCCAAGUCUUGCAGAGGAAACGGCAUUGCUUGAGGGUGCGAGAGGUGAAUGUAACUCAUGGAGUAGGGGUGAAAUCCGUUGAUAUCAUGGGGAACACCAAAAGCGAAGGCAAUUCACUGGCGCAUUUCUGACACUGAGACACGAAAGCGUGGGUAGCGAACGGG